GACUUCCUUGCUGUUGCUAAGACACUCUUGUUUUGCUCCUUGACAACCCUGGCGGGGGUGAGCUAGCUGCGGCCUCGGCUCCAGCACCCGCGGGAGCAGCUCCCCUUGGGGAAAGACAAUUUCUGCACCCACCAAGCUGGCAGGGCCUGCUUCCUGAGUCUUCUGGGUACAUCUUAAUUGCCCAUCCCAGCACCUCCUGAAAGGCCCGCCCUCUGCUCCAGUGGUCACAGUGGGAGGAUCAUGGGAGAAGCAGAAGGGAAGAAAGAUGAGGCUGAUUAUAAACGACUGCAGACCUUCCCUCUGGUCAGGCACUCGGACAUGCCAGAGGAGAUGCGAGUGGAGACCAUGGAGCUAUGUGUCACAGCCUGUGAGAAAUUCUCCAACAACAACGAGAGCGCCGCCAAGAUGAUCAAAGAGACGAUGGACAAGAAGUUCGGCUCCUCCUGGCACGUGGUGAUCGGCGAAGGCUUUGGCUUUGAGAUCACACAUGAGCCUCAAGAAGUCAAGCUUGUCGAGUCCAGAGCUCCUGACCACCAGGCCCUAUGGCCUGAAUGAUGGCAUAGGGCCGUCUCUGCGCUCUGGGAGGCCUGGGCCAGUGGCUGCAGGCCAUGCUGGAUACGAUGCCCAGGCUGCAGUGCUAAUAACUGGGUGCUGAGUGAGGAGGGCGCCUCUGAGGUUUGUCCCUGCGUGGGAAAGGUAUGCGGCCACACCAAUAAUAACACUGCUUUGGGGACAGGCAGUCUCUGUGGGUCCUCGUGCAGCUCCUCCCCAGGCUUUGGAGAGCUUCCCUCUGGCCACCUCUGCUGUCUCCACAGCCACCUGGUGGGCAGGGAGGGUGGCAAUUACUGUCCCCAUGGUGCAGGUGGGAAUGGAGGGAGCUGGGCGAGUGAUGGAGGGUUUGUGUGGGUGGGGGCAGGCUGAGGUGGUGCUGGGUAUCUCAGACUAGCCCAGGGAACAUGGGUGAAGGAUCCAGUCAGUGACAGGGGUGGGGUGCGGGCAGGGGCUGUCCCCAUGCAGUGGACCUCGUAGAUCUGGCAAUAUCCCCAUAAGAUGAGCACUCUCCCUGUGGUCCCCUCUGCCCAGUCUCCUCUUGUCCCCUCUGUCCCCUGGCUACUCCUCUCACCCUUCAGGCCACUGUCUCCAGCAGCUUUCCUGACUCCCUAAAUCCUGGUGAGGAGAGUCAUGGCCAGACCCUUACAUGCAGCAGGGUCAGUACCAGGGCUCAUGACACUUUUAGGGCCCCAGAAAAAUGUUUAAAUUAUUUUUUCAAUCAAAAGGGGGAAAAAAUGGAUAUAAUCCAGCCUGGAAUGUGUUUGUUCUUAUAUCAACACAGCUGCAAAAAAGAAUUUUUAACAUUUUUAUGGAGGAAGAGGCCCACGAAAGUCACACUGAGGCCCUGGUCAUGGGGGACCUUAGGGGCCUGUGUCCCUCCUGGAGCCUCACUGUGUGGUAACAACCUGCUCACUGAACUGCCUUCCCCAGCAGGGCUGUGUCUUACUCACUGUAGAGCAGGCGUGCAGUAGGAAUAAAUAAAUACUUGUAUAUUAAAAAGUAGUU